UUUCCGUAGGUGAACCUGCGGAAGGAUCAUUACUGAGUGAGGGCCCUCUGGGUCCAACCUCCCACCCGUGUUUAUUGUACCUUGUUGCUUUGGUGAGCCCGCCUCACGGCCGCCGGGGGGCAUCUGCCCCCGGGCCCGCGCUCGCCGGAGACACCCUUGAACUCUGUCUGAAGUUUGCAGACUGAGCGAAAACUAAAUAAGUUAAAACUUUCAACAACGGAUCUCUUGGUUCCG
rnacentral:misc_RNA from 1 species